AAUGAUCAACAUCACACUAUUCAUGCCAUGCUUUUUAUUUGUUUUUCCACUUUUUCCUUUUUGGUAGAAAGAGUCUUUUCUAAACUUAUUAAUUCAUUCUGCCUUAAAGUCAGAAAAUGUUUUUUCAAUGCUACUUCUCCCUUCCUUUUUUGCUGUGUUGCUAUUUUUCAUGGUUUAGGUAGUGAAAAUGCAUUUUCUUCUUUGUUUCCCCAUUUGGUGAAUAUGAUCUGCAAAUUCUUCCCAUAUACCUGUGGUGGACCUGGUGGUGGUAUAUAGUCUGUUGAUCAGAUGGACGUUCUCUUCUACAUAGUUUCUUUAGGUUGGUUGUGACAUGAUAUUCUCUGUUUUAUAAUAACG
rnacentral:misc_RNA from 1 species